rnacentral:rRNA from 1 species
AUGAUGAUGCAGUAUAUAUACUGGCCGGGGCGCCUCUGCCUUCUGCGUACUGCAUACUCACAAUCACAAGUUGGCUCUCCUCUGCAUCUCCCGCGGAGCACGCAUCUAUCAGCAAUGGCGGCCACCUCCAUCGUCGACGUCUUCGCCGCCCGACCGUCGCCGGCUCUAGGGCUGCCUGGGCUGAGACUCACCAGGGCCAAGGGGCUGAGGUGCAGGUGCAGUGUCAGCAAGAAGGCGUCUUCGGCUCUGGCUCCGAUGGUGGCCAAGGGCGCGCCGCUGCUCGCUAAGGCGAGCUGCAUGGCGUCAACAGCCCCGAUGCUGGCCUUGGCUCUGGCGCUGGUGGACGAAGGGAUGUCAGGUGAGCGCGCCGGGCAGAGCAACGACCUGCUGGGGUGGACUCUGCUGCUUGCCUUGGGCCUCGUCUUGUGCUUCUACGCCGUCUACUCCACCACCUUCGACGACGACGACGACCACUCAGGUGCCGGCGGCAUCACGCUCUGA